AGAGACGCUAGGCCGGCACUGCCUAGGUGGGCCGGGCGGUGCGAGGGUCGCCUUUCAGCCUUUACCUCUACCCACUGAAAUGGAGUAGGUCGGUGAGCGCCGAUCUGCUGGAGAAUCUCAUUAUCCCAUCGGCGCUCUGCCUGCUCCUGGCCUCCAAGCCUCUGAAGCCCCUCGGGUUUCAGCUGCCGGCUACCCUCGAGCCCGUGGUGCCCACGAGAGAGGCGACUUUACGUCAGCGGCCCUGGGCUGAGAUUUGAGAACGCGACCAAGUGGAGAAUGUUGGAGCCAGAUUUUAAAAUCCUUGUCUUCCUUCUGCGUGCUACUUGAUCUAAAUGAGAUACGGCAAAGUCACAGAACCUGUUUUUAUGUUUUUGCCUGAUUCAUACGGGCUUCUCCGGUGAAGAUGGGCCUGAAGUAACGCUUGGGUUGCUUCUGACGUUAUAACUCAUCCUGUAGCUGCAGCAACCGUGGUCCUUGCAACCUCAUAAAAAUGUUGCCAGCAUUGUUUCGAUAGUGCUGCUUAAUUCUUGGAAGGUUCUUCGGACUUCACACAUUCCAGCAGUAGCUCUCUCAGCUCCUGUCCUGCACAGCUUUGAAGUGCUGGUGAUGUCAUUGAACUCUUAAGUGCAAGAUGAAACAAGUCUUUCUGGGGUUCUAAGUAGCGUCUUCAAAGUGUCUUCUGUAAAGACUUCUUCAGACUGUCAAUAGGAAGACUGAUAAACUCAGAUGCGAGAGGAAAUCGAGUCAUCAUCAAUGGC
rnacentral:lncRNA from 1 species